rnacentral:rRNA from 1 species
UACGUAGGGGGCAAGCGUUGUCCGGAUUUAUUGGGCGUAAAGAGCGUGUAGGCGGAUCGGUAAGUACCUUGUGAAAUCCCACAGCUUAACUGUGGAACUGCUUGGUAUACUGCCAGUCUUGAGCCACUUAGGGGCUACCGGAACAAAUGGUGGAGCGGUGAAAUGCGUAGAUAUCAUUUGGAACGCCAAUGGUGAAAACAGGUAGCUGGGAGUGUGCUGACGCUGAGACACGAAAGCCAGGGGAGCAAACGGG